rnacentral:lncRNA from 1 species
CCCCACUCCUUCCUCCCACCCCCAGCUGGAAAUAAUUUUUCUUUCUAUUCAGAAUUAGCUAUAAAGUGUGAAAUCCUGACCUCGUCAAAGCCACUUUUGAUAUCAGUAUAGUGAGAACUUCACUCUGCCUUUAGGAAGUCUUGAAAUAUUUUUGAAAAUGAGAUGAAGCUAUAAGUAGUGAAAACAUGUACAGCAAUUCCUGUUAGUGACUUCAUGGUAUAAGGCCAUUCAGGUUAAAGACUGAUAAAAAUGUACACCUGGUAUGUGUACAAAGAUAUGUUCUCACCCAUGUGCACAUGUACAUAAACAUAUGUGUUCAAAAGGGCUGACCUAAUAGAUGGGACUCCAGCUUUGGUGAACUCUGGUCAGGAUACAGCCCUACACAGGAGGAAGUACAAGAGAAGAACCUAGAAACUCAGUCAAAGAAAUUUUGUAAUGCUGCACUGCUUUGGAUGGUGGUAAUAAUGAUGAAAUGAAUUGAGGGCCAUAGCUACCUGAACUGAU